UGGGGAAUCUUGCGCAAUGGGCGAAAGCCUGACGCAGCAACGCCGCGUGCGGGAAGAAGGUCUUCGGGUUGUAAACCGCUUUCAGCAGGGACGAAGGCAACUGGGUUAAUAGCCCAGAAGUUGACGGUACUUGCAGAAGAAGGUCCGGCUAACUACGUGCCAGCAGCCGCGGUAAUACGUAGGGACCGAGCGUUGUCCGGAAUCAUUGGGCGUAAAGAGCGUGUAGGCGGCUCGCUAAGUCUUGCGUGAAAUCUCGGGGCUCAACCCCGAGCGGUCGUGAGAAACUGGCGGGCUAGAGUGCGGGAGAGGAGAGUGGAAUUCCUGGUGUAGCGGUGAAAUGCGCAGAUAUCAGGAAGAACACCCGUGGCGAAGGCGGCUCUCUGGAACGCAACUGACGCUGAGACGCGAAAGCGUGGGGAGCAAACAGGAUUAGAUACCCGCGUAGUCC
rnacentral:rRNA from 1 species